UACUCUGGGAAAGACUGCCUGCCUGGAAAGGCCAGUAUCAGAAGCUGAAGAGGCAUGGGAAGAUCCUGGGGCUGGUGAAUGAUUUCAAACACACUAAGAGUCUGGAAAGUGCAAGAGCAGGUUAGAGACCCCGGACAUGAUAUGGACAUGGUGCCUUUGGGGGAUCUGGGAAGCUGCCAACAUGACUACUCAGGGGAAAGAGGGAAGACCAUGAAGGGACUUACAAGAGAGGUGAAGAAGGGAUACCAUGUGACCAGCUGCCUUCCAGCUCCAGUUUGCAUGGUCUCUCCACCACUAUGGACUGCUCUCUGGAUCUGCUGGCCAAAAGAAACCCUCCCUCCCUCCCUUCCUUCCUUCCUUCCUUCCUUCCUUCCUUCCUUCCUUCCUUCCUUCCUUCCUUUCUUCCUUCCCUCCUUCCUUUUGUUGGGUAUUUUGUUACAGAAAUAAAAAAAGUAACAAAUACAGUGGUGGAAGCAGA